AAGAAACAUAGUGAACUUUAAGAUGACAAAUUUCAUCUCUCCACAGGUCACUUCAGAGCCCUGCGGCUCUCUCCUGCAGAAGAGUACAAUCCUGUUAAAGCGUCGAGCAGUCAGGCGUACUGGAAUGUGCCGUGACAAGAAGAGAUCAGGUGGUUGAGAAUGGAAGUCCUGACCGAGUUAGCAGACUGACCUUUGACCCUCCAAGGAAACUUAAAUUUAAGUCUGAGAACUUCCUGAGAAGAGGAAAACAUCCCGUCUGUGUGAUGAAUGUCCUUUUUACCUUUUGUGUCACAUAAUACUCUCUCCAGAUCAACCAACUCCUAAAAGUCACAUAUUAAAACCUGUGGUCAGACACUUUACAUGGUGGGAAAUGGCUGCUUCUUGUCUAAAUUGGUGGUUCUUAUGCCGGUGGUUGAAAGUAUGGCUACAUGACACUAGAUGCAGUGAAGUACAGAAACAAGCUCGUGAAAAAUCCAGGUCACCAACUCGCUCAACUCAAAUUAAAAGUUCAACAUCCCCGAAAAACGGUGCAACUGUCCCAGACACGUGAAUACUGCAUUCUGAUGAAAGACUUCAUUUAGGAGCCAAGACCUUUGCAGUUUCCUGUUGAUAGUGGAUCACAGCUGGAGGUCAAAGGUCAUCUGUAUGUGUGUGUAUCUGUGUCACCUAACACUCUGACAAAGUGUCUUUCAUUUUUCAUUCUGUCCAACAUCCCUGAUUAUACUAUAAACAGACCUUUUUGCAGGAGAGCUGAAGAGAGAGAUAUUUAGCCGAUCGUGAAACCAUUUUUAUUAACAAUAUUUUCAUAAUUUUGAUAAUUGAAUUAUGUUUUUUCUUGCAUCUUUGUGACAACUUAGGAGACAUUGUAUCACAGCACCAUAAAUAAAAAAUAAGAAUGUACAUCA
ensembl:lncRNA